UUGACUCCAAAUUAUAAGUUUGAUCUUUAAUUCCUUGAAUAAAGACAUGGAUUAUUUCCUUAGAAUUUUGUUGGUACACUAAAGAGGUUUAUGAGGAGUUUAAGUUUUUGGAGUACUAUGAACUUACAGUCGUCUAACUUUGUAUUCAAAUGCAUUUAGGAUAGCCAGACAUUCUUACAACUCCAUUAUAUAGACUUUCAACAAUGGUAGACACAGUGUAUACAGAGGAACCGAACAACUGAACAGAGCAGAACAGUAUUCAAUGACCUUGAAGAGCAAGCAAUGUGUACAGUGAAACAGCUAUCUUUGUAGUUACCAAAGGGUUACGGCAAAAACCUCAUCUAUAAUUAUAUGUGAUUCAGCUUAGAGAGGAUGUUUCAGUUGUCGACCUUGAAUAUGGCUAACAGACCAGGAAGAGUGGCAUAUAGAUUUCCGUAACUCUAUACUCUAUAAUACCUUAUAUAUUUUAUUUUUAUCACAGAUGAAGCUAAAUCUACUGUAAGCUUUUAAGAGAGCCUGCUUUGAUAGAAGUGACAACAAUUUUUCAAACAUCACUAAUCUUUAUUAAUUGUUUCCAUUACAGAGUUCUUACGGAGAUAUAUAGGUUACAAUACUGUAUUUAUUAUUUCUGAUGGUCUUUAUAUGUCCUAUGUGUGUAAUUGUUUGUUUUAAAGAAAUAUAAUAUGGUAUUGACUAUUGAUUUUAAUGGGAUAAAACAAACAGAAGAAAUCAACUUAAAUACCUUUAUAAAGUAUCAACACCAUUUUAAGAAAGUUUUGCAAAUACUAAUGGUAUGAUAUUAUACACCAUUACAUGUACAUUGGCCAGUUGAAUUCUUAUCAGGAUAAUUAAAACAAAAAAAAUUAAAAGAUAACUGUAUUAGACAUUAUAAAUGUUUUUCUCACAGUAGCCAAUUGUGAAUGGUGAGAACAUAUUUUCCAAGUUAGAAAACUGAAAACUAAAAAUUGUGAAAACAUCUACCCGACCGAGAAUUAUUUUACCAGUUUAAUAUUUAAAGAAACAAGUUGUACCAAGUAUAUUAACAAGAUUUUCUAAAAAAAAAAGCAAGAGUAAAUCCUGAGAUUGGAAUAGAGCUUCCAAGAUUUGUUAAUUCAAUGGGAGAUAACUCUGUAAAAUAUGCAGAUUUUAAUGCAGUUGAUAUUCAAAUCAUUAUUCUUUGACUUCCUUUUAGUUUUCCAUCUUUAUAUAUUAAUUUUACAAACUUAGGUGUUGAUGUUAUACUAUUGUGAACAUGUAGUAAGAAAUCAAAACAAUAUUUAGUAAAUGUUUAUGUUGACAGAAAUGGAUUUAUAAAAUAUAUAAUAAUGUAUCCAUUUUAAUUCCUUUUUAGGUAACCUUUCUGUGACAUGAUUUUCAUGGUGUUGGAUUAUAAAACUUUGGGGUCUAAUACAUCUAAAAGGAAGGUUAACAUCACAGCUUGUCCGUAAGGAUUGAGGUUGGGAAUGGCCAUUGGAGUUGACUUUUUUGGUUACUUUAACUGUGGCUGCAUGAAAAUGAUUGGGUGACUGUACCAGUAAAGAAUGUAAUUUAGCCAAUUUUUGUGUAUGUUUGAGAAAAUGUUUAUAAUUUUUUACAAAAAAACAAAUAGUGUAAAGAUUCUCCAUUUUCAACAAGAUUGUAAGUUAUAGAUAACUUAUUUUGAAUUUUAAAAUCUCUCUUUUUUUUACCAUUAAAACCAAAGGAUAUAUUCAGGUAGCUCUACUCAUGUCCAUUCUUGACAAUUUUUUUGUCAUGCAUAUUGAUACUGAAUUGGUUUUUGGUAUGUAUAGUUUUGUUUUGAGUUCAUAGUUCAGAUUCAAUCAUGUCUUCAUUAUUUUUUUUCCCCUGUGGCUAGAUUUAAUUGGUACUUUGAAAAUGAAUUGAAAUGGACCAAUUUUAUUUGAAGACCUACUCUUUUAGAUAUAUUAAUAAUGGUCGGUGUCUAGUCAAAACACUUCCAGAAGUUAAGGAUGGAGAAUCUUAAAAAAAAAAGAAAAAAUGAAAUGUAUAUUUUGGCUUUCACCAUUGUUAAAUAUAUAUCUUUUCCGUAUUUUUCGUUUUUUUAUGCCCCUGCCAUAGGGAAAGGACGUCCUUCUGUCCUUUUGUUGUUCCUUUUGUCCCAUUUUUGUUUCUGCACUAAAUUUUAAGAGGUAUGCCCCUUUAUCAGUUGGAAAGUUGCAAAUUUGGGCAGUGAGUCACUUACUUUUCUAGAGUUAUGCUCCUUUUUCAAUUUUUAAAAUUGCAAAGCUUGAGCAAGGGCAUUGUGUCCUCAGACACAUUCUUCUUUUAUCUUUUAGCUGAGUUUAAUAUAAUUUAUAUUUUUAUCAAUUGUUUUGUUCUUAAUAAUUAUACAUUUUUUUAUACUG